UACGUAGGGAGCGAGCGUUGUCCGGAUUCAUUGGGCGUAAAGAGCUCGUAGGCGGCUCAGUAAGUCGGAUGUGAAAUCCCCAGGCUUAACCUGGGAACUGCAUCCGAUACUGGAUGGCUUGAAUCCGGGAGAGGGAUGCAGAAUUCCAGGUGUAGCGGUGAAAUGCGUAGAUAUCUGGAGGAAUACCGGUGGCGAAAGCGGCUUACUGGACCAUAACUGACGCUGAGGCACGAAAGCUAGGGGAGCAAACAGG
rnacentral:rRNA from 1 species